AUGGGCAGUGAGAGGGCGGGGCUGGAGGUAAAUGAGUGACGGAGUGUUGCAGCCUAUGAGAAUGAGAGAGGGCGUGGCUGAGUAUGAUAGUGACUAGAGGCGCCCAAUGGGUAGUGAGUGGGCGGGGCUGCUUCUGGUUGCUGAGUUACCGUGGUAGACACUACCCAUAAUCCCAUGCGCUAGGAUGACGAGCCCACGGAAAUACCGCCCCGCCCACUUCCGGUACACAUUCUUCCGUCCACGGUGUUAUCUCUCCUGCCGCCUCAUCCUCCAGGUUACACAGUAGUGAAGAAGAUAUCCGGUGAGUGUGAGACACCGAGCAGCCAUCCCCGUGUGUCAGGAAGAAGAAGGACCCAGAGCCUCAUCUCGGUGCCUCCACCUCACUCACUGACACAUGACACAUUGACCAGAAGAUCCUGGAACUCACCAACAAGAUCAUUCAGCUGCUGACUGGAGAGGAGGGGGAGUAUAUAGAGGAACACAGGGGUCUGUACAAGGACGUGAUGAUGGAGAAUCACCG